rnacentral:rRNA from 1 species
UACGUAGGGGGCUAGCGUUGUCCGGAAUCAUUGGGCGUAAAGAGCGUGUAGGCGGUCCGGUAAGUCCGCUGUGAAAGUCGGGGGCUCAACCCUCGAAUGCCGGUGGAUACUGUCGGGCUAGAGUCCGGAAGAGGCGAGUGGAACUCCUGGUGUAGCGGUGGAAUGCGCAGAUAUCAGGAAGAACACCAACGGCGAAGGCAGCUCGCUGGGACGGAACUGACGCUGAGGCGCGAAAGCGUGGGGAGCAAGCAGG